CCCAGCAGGGUGCGGUGUGAGCCACAAGCUCCCACAUUGGAGGAGGCGAGGAGGUGGAGAAGAACAGGAAAGAAAGAAUGGAACCCUCUUUCCCAUCUGAUCUGUGCCAAAGCCCAGCCAAUGAAAACCAGAAGUGCAAACCAGCUCCGACGGAGGAAGGGGGUCCUUAGCAGGCGUUCACCCCAGUUCCACAGCUCCAGCUGUCCGAGGGGUUCCGGAAUGCUCCCAGGGCAUCUGUGGCACCCUGAGUCCUGAGGGCUAACACCAGCACCUGCUCUGUCUCUAGCCCCUCCUGACAGCCAAGCUUCUCAGCCUCUUUUUCCUCCCUCCUCGGUCCCAGGCUGCUGCACCUAGGCCUGGCACUCUUACCAAACCCCAGGGACUGCCCAGGGCCAUCACACUCCUUUUGGGAACUCCUUCUCCUGGACAGGAUUGCCCUGUCCAGUCUGUUAGGGUCGCCCAGACUUCUGGGCUGGCUCCUUCUGCCCCUCCCCCACUUCUGCGCUGGGGCCUUUACAAAAAUGUCCCCCACCCAGUCCACACCACAUAGGCCCAGGACUUCCUCCUCUCAAAUCACCUACCCCCAGUCCUGUGCUGGAGUUCAGCUCCAGCAGGUCCAGGGGUUCCAGAAGGAUGAACAGCAUUGGGGAAAAUAACAAAUGGACACAGACAACAACAGUGUGUUAGACUGGCCGCUUUAUUGUGGCAAAUGUGGCAUUAUAUUUGUUAGCAGUUUCCUUGUAGCAUGCGUCAUCUACAUCUAUGUUUCUCGGCAUUACCUAAUUCUAAAAACGUUCCUUUGUGUAAUCACCCAUUAAGGAACAAUAUAGUUAUUUUCUUGUAACGUU